rnacentral:rRNA from 1 species
GAUGAACGCUGGCGGCGUGCCUAAUACAUGCAAGUCGAGCGAACAGACGAGGAGCUUGCUCCUCUGACGUUAGCGGCGGACGGGUGAGUAACACGUGGAUAACCUACCUAUAAGACUGGGAUAACUUCGGGAAACCGGAGCUAAUACCGGAUAAUAUAUUGAACCGCAUGGUUCAAUAGUGAAAGACGGUUUUGCUGUCACUUAUAGAUGGAUCCGCGCCGCAUUAGCUAGUUGGUAAGGUAACGGCUUACCAAGGCAACGAUGCGUAGCCGACCUGGGAGGGGGAUGCGCCACGCUGGAACUGGGCCACGGUCCAGACUCCUACGGGAGGCCGCGGUAGGGAAGCGUCGGCAAUGGGCGAAAGCCUGACGAAGCAACGCCGCGUGGGUGAUGAAGGUCUUCGGAUCGUAAAACUCUGUUAUUGGGGAAGAACAAAUGUGUAAGUAACUAUGCACGUCUUGACGGUACCUAAUGAAAAAGCCACGGCUAACUACGUG